rnacentral:lncRNA from 1 species
CUCAAAUUGUGUUCAAUUAAUAUGAAAAAAAAGCAAUGGGUUGAUAAUGUUUGUUGUUAUAUGCCUAGAAAUUGGUAUUUAGAAAAUUAGCAAUUUUGAUCAUAUUUGGUAUGGCCAUCAUUCCGUUGGCCGAGUGGUAGAUGGGAGGCUGGAAACACAAGGUACUUUUCCUACUUUCCAAAGUUGGUGAGCUCUUUUUGUCUUUCACGAAAGUUAGUUAUUUAGGCUUCUAAACAGCCUUUCUAAGAAAAGGGAGAAAAAAAAAAAAGAGUCUUUCAAAUCAUAAAAUGUGCCUAUGGAGACCUGUUUUCAGACACUAUUGUGGAUUCUUUUUACCAAAGAAAGCAAUCUUCAUAGCAGAACUCCAAGCUUAAAAGUUAUUUUGCUUUUAGAUUCAUCUCUGAAUGUUGCUAUGCUAAAAGA